rnacentral:lncRNA from 1 species
CUGAUUUUUAUAGUUCGUUCUUAUGUUGUACUGUUAUACCACUGUCCCAGGUUAGGGGAUGGUUGGGGUCCCGCUAACAUGUUUAACCCCGCCACAUUAUUUUAGUAUGUGCCUGUCCCAAGUCAGGAGCCUGUAAUUCAGUGGUUGUCGUUUGUUUAUGUGUUGCAUAUUUGUUUUUCGUUCAUUGUUUUACAUAAAUAAGGCCGUUAGUUUUCUCGUUUGAAUUGUUUAACAUUGUCUCAUUGGGCCUUUU